UGCCAAGCAACAAUUCUGAUUGCACCUGCUGAGCUCCCGCAUGGGGUGGGACCUUGAGGGCCUGUCCUGAUCUCUUUGCAGCCCAGGGGUUGUGGGUCACGGUGCCCUGGAGAGCCGGGCACGAGAGCCCUUGAGUGGUAGAAUGCCCUCCCGGACGGGGAACAGAAGUGACACAAGCCCAGCUCCUUUCCGUGACAUCUCCUG
rnacentral:lncRNA from 1 species